UUGAAGUAUAGAUGAGAAUUAAAACUUGCAUCUAGGGCUGGCCCAGUGGUGCAGCGAUUAAGUUCAUGCGUUCCGCUUCUUGGCGGCCCGGGGUUCACCGGUUCAGAUCUUGGCAGCGGACAUGGCACCACUAGGCAAGCCAUGCUGUGGUAGGCGUCACAUGUGUAGAGGAAGAUGGGCACAGAUGUCGGCUCAGGGCCAGGCUUCCUCAGCAGAAGGGAGGAGGACCGGCAGUGGUUAGCUCAGGGCUAAUCUUCCUCAAAAAAGAAAAGAAAAAAUUACAUCUAUUUGGCCAGCCCUGUGGCCUAGUGGUUAAGUUUGGUGCACUCCGGUUUAGCAGCUGGGGUUCAGUUCUCAGGGCGUGGACCUACUCCACUCAUCAGCCAUAAUGUGGUGGUGACCCACAUACAAAAUAGAGGAAGACUGGCACAGAUGUUAGCCCAAGGUGAAUCUUCCUCAGCAAAAAAAAAAAAGCAUAUAUUUAAAGUGUACAAUUUAAUGAUUUCAAAUUAAAUUUUCAUAAAAUAAUUUUAAAACCUAAAUAACUGAGUUACAUUAAAUAUAAUUUGAAUCUACUGAUAUGACAUUUCCUAAAUUUUUCCCUAUAUGUCCUAGUUUCAAAUAUUCUGUCCAGUCGUUCUCAAAAGCCAUGAGAACAGCCCAGAAAUUCAUUUUUCUGAAUCCAACCUACCUCUCCCAGUUGGCUUCUAAAACCUGGAAACCGUACCCAAAUCCUUUGUUAGAACACUUGUAUCAGUUUUCCAUUGCUGCGUAACAAAUUACUCUAAAAUUCAGCAGCUGAACACAACACACACACACACACGACAGAUCUCGCACAGUCUCUGAGGGCGGGAAUCUGGGAGCCACAGAGCUGGGUGGCCCCCGCUCACGGUCCCUCAUGAGGAUGAGGCCGAGGCGUCUGCUGGAUUUGUGUUCCGAGAGAUAAAAGCUUGCUAAGAACAGAAUGUGGAAAGACGACACGCCUCAGGGCCCCACGGUUAGUCUAACAGAAGGGACACAGUCGGCCUAUACUUCUCUCCAGGUCCCAAGAAGUCAGUGGAAAUGGAGCACCCAGAGUGGGAGGUUCAGCCAGAAACGGGAAACUUGUACUUAAUUCUGUAUUGUAGAAGAAGAGUAUAUAUUUUAGUUUCUGUAGAGUAUGAUUUAAAAAUCAGGGGUUUAAACAACGAUUUAAACGAAGCAUUCCCAAGUAACAAUGAGAAUCAGAACAUCAGAGAAAAAAACCACCCCAGGAAAUCAUCCAAAUUCUAAUUUAUGCCCCAAAGGUCAAAGGGAAGAGGUAAGAGGAAUGGAGAGACGCAGUGUUGGGCGAGAAUGGCUUGGGCCUUAGUUUUCUUCGGAGGACCGACCCUCCCUAUUUGCACACAUUAGUUCUCUCUUCUCCUACCCACCGGCCCGGCUCACUGAGCUCUCACCGUCAUAGCCAGCUCCUCUCCACGGCCCAGGGCGCUCCCAGCCCCAGCUCUGCAGCCCCGGGGGCAGGAUGGCCAGGAACUGCUCCAGCAUCAGCAGCUCCAGGAUGGGCAGCUUGCGAUGUCUCUCCAGCCUCAGCCCCUGGUGGCAGAGCUCAUGGGGGCAUCGCAGAACCUCACCGGGUGGCAAAUCUCCUGGUCUCCUGGUGGUAGAACCGUCUGAAGCGCGCGUGGGCCAGCUCCCGGCUGCGAGGAUAAAGUGGCCCUCUGCCUCCACCUUCACCACCACAAUUCUGUCCUGCUUUUGAGGGGCCUGGGGGUCCAAGGAUACAGACCCCCUCGCGGCUGUGAUCAUUCCUGGCUGGAAAAGUCCCCAAGGAAGGUCACUUGUACUGUGGGAGGGUUAAAUUUCAGAGAAAUGCUUCUUUAUAUUUCAAAAACUUUCUGAAACAUAUAAAAUACAUUUAAAAAAAUUAAACAAAACUCCUUGAUGAUGGAAAUUUUCAAUGUCACUAAAGAGAAUAUAAUAAAUACAAUGAACUCUCAUGUACCCAUCUCCCAGCUUCCAACGCCAUUCAUUUUCUGCCAUUCUUGUUUCCUUCAUGCCCCACCACUGUUUGUGUAUGUGUGUGUGUAGUAUUUUAAGCAAAUCCCAGACAUCAGACGUUUUUUCUGAUAGAUAACUCAGCAUGUAUCUCUAGCAGACAGGAUUAAAAUUACACUUAAAAAACAUAUGUAAUACGUUUUGAACAUAUAUGAUGGUAGAAUAGUUUAGUGUUCUCCGUGCACGCAUCUCUAGCACUUAUGGACAUUCAGCCAAUCGCCUUUCCUCUGCUCCUCGUCUCCCCCCCACCACACUGGACAUUUUUCCAACAAAUCUCACAUCAUUUCAUCCAUAAAAUCUGCAGUGUGUGUCUCUAAAACUCUUCUCCUUUCUAAAGCAUUACCCCAGUAGCGUUAUCGCAACUAAAAAUUCUAAAGAAUAAUUCCUUAAAUAUCAUCAAUGUUCACAUUUCCCUCAUUUUUAAAAAAUUUCACGGUUGGUUGUUAGAAUCGUGAUCUGGACAAGGUAUAAACGUUGCAUCUGGCUGAUAAAUCUCUUGGUCUACAGGUCCAUUUCCCUCUUAAAGAAUCUUGUUUAUCUUGUAAUUUAUUUGUUGAAGUGUUUGUCUAAGAACGAAAUGACACUUCACAAACGCUCGAGCGCCUGCUCCGUGCCAGGCACUGUGCCUCGCGCUGGAAAUAAAGGGGUGCGCAGGCAGCCCCGAGACCGGUCCUGCAUUAGGGGCAAAUCAUUGGCUCUCCCCGGGCCUGGUUCCCGCUUCUCUAACGGAACAGGACUGGACUGGAUCCACUCGGACACCCCUCUCAUCACUACGAUGCACCGUGGGAAGAGUACAUUUGCUGAGACAGCCUCAGCCAAGGCCAGGAUAUUCAUGUAACUCUCAACAAUCAGGUGGGGACAGCUGAAGUCAAGAUCUAGGAGACCCACGGUUCAGAACAAUUUUCUUAAGUGGUACAAAUGCAGUUACCUGUUCCAUGGGUAUCCGGAGUACUGCAUUUUAUUAACUCUCAUGUCAUCAAUUACCAGCAAAGCUCUACUCUUUGUCACGGCAAUGUCACCCACCCUGUGGACAUAAGGGUCUUCUGGUGUUCCCUAAGCAGUCUGAUGUUUCCAGGGGCCUUCCUGAACAGUUCCGAGACGGACGUUUAGUUACAAUCCCAGCCCUCCUGCUGCCGUCAGAGGGGUUCUUCUCCAAUGGAGAUGUGACCACGUUCAUCUGCAGUGAAACUCCGUCGGUGGCACCUCAAACUCUCCCUUCUUGGCCUGGUCUGAGAGGCCCUUCACCAUCUGUGCCCUCGUCUUCUCCCCUGACCCACACACCCAACUCCACCCCCCAUGUCACUCAUGCGCACCCUCACUCCCCGACACGUUCCCUGGGGCCCUGCUGAGCUCUCCUGGGUUCCCCAGGUGACUAGGCUGUUUCAUGUGCAUGUCACACCUGUGAGAGAAAGAAAGUCAUCUUACCUCAACCGUAUGCCAGCACAGGCAUGGCAGAAGUCACUUUGUGCGUUACAAAAUGGCCCUGUGAAAUUAUAAACCAGAACUAGGAUGCCCAGAUCCUUCCCUCCAAAGGGCUGAUAGUUGAAACACUUCUCUGAACUUCCACAGGCAAACAUAUUCAUAUUCCAAAUCAUGUUUUCCAAUACCGUUAAAAAUGUCCAUCAAUAAAAAUACAGUAUUGCAACAUAAAUGGUUAUUAGAAUUAUCCAAUAUAAAAUGCCAACCUAAACAGUUAGGUGGAAUAUUAUGCAGCUGUAAAAAAGGGACGAGGCAGCUCUAUCUGUAUUGACACAAAUUCCCAAGAUAAAAAAGCGUAAAAAACAAGUUGUAGAAAAGUGUCAACAG
rnacentral:lncRNA from 1 species